rnacentral:rRNA from 1 species
GACGAACGCUGGCGGCGUGCCUAAUACAUGCAAGUCGAGCGAAUCAAGAGGAGCUUGCUCCUCUUGGUUAGCGGCGGACGGGUGAGUAACACGUGGGCAACCUGCCUGUAAGACUGGGAUAACUUCGGGAAACCGGAGCUAAUACCGGAUAAUUCUUUCUCUCUCAUGAGGGAAAGCUGAAAGACGGUUUCGGCUGUCACUUACAGAUGGGCCCGCGGCGCAUUAGCUAGUUGGUGAGGUAACGGCUCACCAAGGCGACGAUGCGUAGCCGACCUGAGAGGGUGAUCGGCCACACUGGGACUGAGACACGGCCCAGACUCCUACGGGAGGCAGCAGUAGGGAAUCUUCCGCAAUGGACGAAAGUCUGACGGAGCAACGCCGCGUGAGCGAUGAAGGCCUUCGGGUCGUAAAGCACUGUUGUUAGGGAAGAACAAGUAUCGGAGUAACUGCCGGUACCUUGACGGUACCUAACCAGAAAGCCACGGCUAACUACGUGCCAGCCGCCGCCGUAAAAC